rnacentral:rRNA from 1 species
CCUACGGGUGGCAGCAGUCGAGAAUCAUUCACAAUGGGGGAAACCCUGAUGGUGCGACGCCGCGUGGGGGAAUGAAGGUCUUCGGAUUGUAAACCCCUGUCAUGUGGGAGCAAAUUAAAAAGAUAGUACCACAAGAGGAAGAGACGGCUAACUCUGUGCCAGCAGCCACGGUAAUACAGAGGUCUCAAGCGUUGUUCGGAAUCACUGGGCGUAAGGCGUGCGUAGGCUGUUUCGUAAGUCGUGUGUGAAAGGCGCGGGCUCAACCCGCGGACGGCACAUGAUACUGCGAGACUAGAGUAAUGGAGGGGGAACCGGAAUUCUCGGUGUAGCAGUGAAAUGCGUAGAUAUCGAGAGGAACACUCGUGGCGAAGGCGGGUUCCUGGACAUUAACUGACGCUGAGGCACGAAGGCCAGGGGAGCGAAAGGGAUUAGAUACCCUAGUAGUC